AAACUUGAGAGUUUGAUUCUGGCUCAGAACGAACGCUGGCGGCAUGCCUAACACAUGCAAGUCGAACGAGACCUUCGGGUCUAGUGGCGCACGGGUGCGUAACGCGUGGGAAUCUGCCCUUGGGUUCGGAAUAACAGUUGGAAACGACUGCUAAUACCGGAUGAUGUCUUCGGACCAAAGAUUUAUCGCCCAGGGAUGAGCCCGCGUAGGAUUAGCUUGUUGGUGAGGUAAAGGCUCACCAAGGCGACGAUCCUUAGCUGGUCUGAGAGGAUGAUCAGCCACACUGGGACUGAGACACGGCCCA
rnacentral:ncRNA from 1 species